GACCCGUUUUUUUAGAUCAACUUAUUUAGCUACUUUUGAACUUUAUGGGCUUCCCAGAGGAGAGGAAGAGCAGAGGCAAAUGGUAAAAUAUGAAAACGUUUCUUCCUUCAUCAAAACAACAUAGGUUCUUUCCCAAAUGGCAAAUAUGAAAUUGCGAAGACCUUAUGAAACUGUUGUCAUCUCCCUUGUGGGAAGUCAGCAGCGGGCACUACUAGAGCAAUAGGGAAACAAACUUUUACUUCCCUACUUGAUGCAUUUCCUUCAAUCAAGUCUAUCCCAGGAGAAGAAGGAACAGUGUUGUUUGUCAAGCCAAACAGCAGGCUGAGAAAAACAUCACUUUUAACUUAGGGAUAGAGAAGGAGAAAAAAAUAGGCCCAGAAAAAAUAAGUUUACUGUAUAUUCAGAAUCAAACUGUAAGUCACAUCCUACCAUAUUUCCAUGUGUUGAAAUGGCAUGUUAUUUCUGGACUACGGAAAGUAAUUGGAUUACUGUAGCAUAGUAUUGUACAUAUCCACUCUUAUAUUUUCUCUUCUCUCAUUGAUAAUUCAACUCCAUUUUAAGAAAUACACUAUCAUGGAAAUUAAAAAAAAUAAUUCCUCAAUUAUUGCACUGUUAUAAUCAAUUUUGAAUUUCAUCAUGAAUGCAGAGAAAAUAAAAGUUAUAUUUUAAUGGGUAA